CCACUGUUGAAAGUCAAUGCUAAGUGUACUGUACAAACCUCAAAGUACAAACACGUCUAGAACGCUUUCAUUACAUAGGCCAGUGCUAGAUUCUGGUUAGGCUAUAUACUGUAAGGUCAGUAGACUAAGACCCGUUUCCCGCUAUCGUGCCAACCCGAACAGUACUGUGCUGACUCUGUAAUUCCCUUUCACAUGGUCCUUUUCAGCACGGUUCUAGCAACUAUGGUGGAUGUGUAACCAGGCCAGCCCAGUACAGCUCAGCUUGGCUCAGAUCAGAAGUGUAAAAAUGGUUAUACAGCAGAUUGCAUAGUUUCAACACCAAAUGCCUCUUUCCCAAAUAGCUUUUAAAGGAGAGACAUUUGUCCUCCUUAAGUCGUAUCUUUUUAACACAGCAGGCUUAGUUUGGCACGGUUGGUGGAACCUGAGACAGCUGAUCAAGUAUUCGUCAAGCCCCAUUGUGCAGUGAGAAACGUCGGAUCUGGUCUCGGACAUCCGGGCUGAUAAAACUUUUUAGUCUUUGUAGUUCUCCGCUACUGGUCGUCUCUUCUAAUUUCAAUGACGGCCAGAGCCAGUCGUCUGUCACAUACAUGUAUUUUCGUAUGAUUUCUUAACAAGACCCGAAAGAGAAGAAAAGGGAGCCCUUUAACUCGCGUCAUCCAUCUUGUGCCGCAUGUCUAAUGAUGGACACCGGAAAGCGCAACCAAGGCAGGCCACAAUCAAUGUGGGUACAGACAGUGGUGGCUGAGCUGGAAGAGAUGCUCUCAUUGGACAGAUUACAAGCUGUGGCCAAAGACAGACUCCAGAGGCAGAAGAUUGUUGCGGCCUCAUCCAAGUGGACUAAGUACAUGUGUGUACAAGGCCUCACUUACUGCAGAGGGUGGAAGUGA
rnacentral:lncRNA from 13 species